UGGGAUAACUCCGGGAAACCGGAGCUAAUACCGGAUAGUUCCUUGAACCGCAUGGUUCAAGGAUGAAAGACGGUUUCGGCUGUCACUUACAGAUGGACCCGCGGCGCAUUAGCUAGUUGGUGGGGUAAUGGCUCACCAAGGCGACGAUGCGUAGCCGACCUGAGAGGGGUGAUCGGCCACACUGGGACUGAGACACGGCCCAGACUCCUACGGGAGGCAGCAGUAGGGAAUCUUCCGCAAUGGACGAAAGUCUGACGGAGCAACGCCGCGUGAGUGAUGAAGGUUUUCGGAUCGUAAAGCUCUGUUGUUAGGGAAGAACAAGUGCGAGAGUAACUGCUCGCACCUUGACGGUACCUAACCAGAAAGCCACGGCUAACUACGUGCCAGCAGCCGCGGUAAUACGUAGGUGGCAAGCGUUGUCCGGAAUUAUUGGGCGUAAAGGGCUCGCAGGCGGUUUCUUAAGUCUGAUGUGAAAGCCCCCGGCUCAACCGGGGAGGGUCAUUGGAAACUGGGAAACUUGAGUGCAGAAGAGGAGAGUGGAAUUCCACGUGUAGCGGUGAAAUGCGUAGAGAUGUGGAGGAACACCAGUGGCGAAGGCGACUCUCUGGUCUGUAACUGACGCUGAGGAGCGAAAGCGUGGGGAGCGAACAGGAUUAGAUACCCUGGUAGUCCACGCCGUAAACGAUGAGUGCUAAGUGUUAGGGGGUUUCCGCCCCUUAGUGCUGCAGCUAACGCAUUAAGCACUCCGCCUGGGGAGUACGGUCGCAAGACUGAAACUCAAAGGAAUUGACGGGGGCCCGCACAAGCGGUGGAGCAUGUGGUUUAAUUCGAAGCAACGCGAAGAACCUUACCAGGUCUUGACAUCCUCUGACAACCCUAGAGAUAGGGCUUUCCCUUCGGGGACAGAGUGACAGGUGGUGCAUGGUUGUCGUCAGCUCGUGUCGUGAGAUGUUGGGUUAAGUCCCGCAACGAGCGCAACCCUUGAUCUUAGUUGCCAGCAUUCAGUUGGGCACUCUAAGGUGACUGCCGGUGACAAACCGGAGGAAGGUGGGGGAUGACGUCAAAUCAUCAUGCCCCCUUAUGACCUGGGCUACACACGUGCUACAAUGGACAGAACAAAGGGCUGCAAGACCGCAAGGUUUAGCCAAUCCCAUAAAUCUGUUCUCAGUUCGGAUCGCA
rnacentral:rRNA from 1 species